UCCCAUCAGAACUCCGCAGUUAAGCGUGCUUGGGCGAGAGUAGUACUAGGAUGGGUGACCUCCUGGGAAGUCCUCGUGCUGCAUCCCC
rnacentral:rRNA from 1 species